rnacentral:rRNA from 1 species
GACGAACGCUGGCGGCGUGCUUAACACAUGCAAGUCGAACGAUGAAGCUGGAGCUUGCUCCAGUGGAUUAGUGGCGAACGGGUGAGUAACACGUGAGCAAUCUGCCCUUGACUCUGGGAUAACUGCGGGAAACUGUAGCUAAUACCGGAUACGACACCUUGGGGCAUCCCAGGGUGUGGAAAGAAUUUCGGUCAAGGAUGAGCUCGCGGCCUAUCAGCUAGUUGGUGAGGUAAUGGCUCACCAAGGCGACGACGGGUAGCCGGCCUGAGAGGGUGACCGGCCACACUGGAACUGAGACACGGUCCAGACUCCUACGGGAGGCAGCAGUGGGGAAUAUUGCACAAUGGACGAAAGUCUGAUGCAGCAACGCCGCGUGGAGGAUGACACAUUUCGGUGCGUAAACUCCUUUUAUAUAAGAAGAUAAUGACGGUAUUAUAUGAAUAAGCAACCGGCUAAACUCCGUGCCAGCAGCCGC